rnacentral:misc_RNA from 1 species
AGGGAUCAUUACAGAGUUGCAAAACUCCCUAAACCAUUGUGAACGUUACCUACAAACCGUUGCUUCGGCGGGCGGCUCCGGGCCCGCCCGGUGCCCCUCGGCCCCCCCAGCGGGGCGCCCGCCGGAGGAAACCCAACUCUUGAUAUCAUGGCCUCUCUGAGUCUUCUGUACUGAAUAAGUCAAAACUUUCAACAACGGAUCUCUUGGUUCUG